AACGAACGCUGGCGGCAGGCUUAACACAUGCAAGUCGAGCGCCCCGCAAGGGGAGCGGCAGACGGGUGAGUAACGCGUGGGAAUCUACCCAUCUCUACGGAAUAACGCAUGGAAACGGGUGCUAAUACCGUAUACGUCCUUCGGGAGAAAGAUUUAUCGGAGAUGGAUGAGCCCGCGUUGGCUUAGCUAGUUGGUGGGGUAAAGGCCUACCAAGGCGACGAUCCAUAGCUGGUCUGAGAGGAUGAUCAGCCACACUGGGACUGAGACACGGCCCAGACUCCUACGGGAGGCAGCAGUGGGGAAUAUUGGACAAGGGGCGCAAGCCUGAUCCAGCCAUGCCGCGUGAGUGAUGAAGGCCCUAGGGUUGUAAAGCUCUUUCACCGGUGAAGAUAAUGACGGUAACCGGAGAAGAAGCCCCGGCUAACUUUGUGCCAGCCGCCGCGGUAACAC
rnacentral:rRNA from 1 species